GCCUUCCAAAGGAGAAAAGAUUGAUAUAGGUAAAGAAGUAUCUGAUGUCAAGAAAGCUGGUUGCUGUUCAUCCUAAGGGCUAUAAUCUGUGCUGCUGUAUCCUGUUCUAGGUGCACCGGUAGUGUAAAAUUGUCCAGACUACCUUUGACACGAUCCUAUUUGAUACUACUACCUUUUAAAUUGGUUUUUGUUUUGGUUGGUAGUAAAGAAUAUCAAUGUUAGAGAACCUCUUUUCUAAUGGAACCAAACCCUUUGUGUAGACCUGUUAUGGCUUAACUAUUGAAUCAUUCUUUCUCUCUUUUCAAUUA
rnacentral:lncRNA from 1 species